UUGUCCGGGAAACAAACGUAUAUUUUUUGGUUCCGCUGGGAGAAUGUUUGGAGAGCUGGUUCGUAGCUGCGUAGAGUCCUUGAAAAAGCAAAUGGAAUGGUUGUGCCUUCCUCUCCUCUGAUGACCCAGUGAGGGUGGAGCUCAGUCAGAGAGCUGUUGAUGGACUGGUUAGGAAGAACUCUUCUACAGCCAGAGAGGAGCAGUCAAGAAAUGGAACGGCAAGGCCACAGAACAUGACAUAAGCAGAGCUGUGGGAGACCACCUCAAGCCCUUGGUAGAGCCGGGGGUGGUGUUUACCACUCCACCACGCCUUCAGCAGGCUGGAAAAGGGGGAUUGGUCUGUUUUUCAUACUAAGAUGGACCAAGAUACGUGUUGCUUUUACACAUAUUUGUUCAUUGGUUUGACAUUAGUCUCGAUUGGUCAUUGGAACGAUUUGUCUUACAAUAUGUUCGAAUCAAAUCAAGCUGUAUUUAUACAGUACAUUUCAGACAUGGAUGCAACACAAAGGCUUCAUAGGGAAAAAAACAAAUAAAAACCAAUGAAAAAACAGAAACAUUUAGUACACAAACAUAAGAUUAAAAAAACAUAUAACUGAAAGACUAAUGAGCACCUCACUGGCAGCGUCGCCGGAACCUAAAAGACGCACAUCGCCAUCAGCUGACUGGAGUGGGCAACGCAGUUGAGGAACCAAAAUUGUAUUUUUCAUUUAUUUCACAAAAGGUUAAUAUAUUAAGUUGUUCAAAGAGAAGCAUGUGUUGAUUGAUUCGUGUUUAAUGAGUGAGUAUUUAAAACAAACCUUACACCCACUACACAUUUGCAAUGCAUACUGGGGCGGCAGGGUAGCCUAGUGGUUAGAGCGUUGGACUAGUAACCGGAAGGCUGCAAGUUCAAACCCCCGAGCUGACAAGGUACAAAUCUGUCGUUCUGCCCCUGAACAGGCAGUUUACCCACU